rnacentral:rRNA from 1 species
UACGAGGGGGGCGAGCGUUUGUUCGGAAUUAUUGGGCGUAAAGGGUGCGUAGGCGGUUUGGUAAGUCUUGUGUGAAAUCUCCAGGCUCAACUUGGAGUCUGCACGAGAAACUGCCGGGCUUGAGUGUGGGAGAGGUGAGUGGAAUUCCCGGUGUAGCGGUGAAAUGCGUAGAUAUCAGGAGGAACACCUGUGGCGAAAGCGGCUCACUGGACCAUAACUGACGCUGAUGCACGAAAGCUAGGGGAGCAAACAGG